rnacentral:rRNA from 1 species
GAUGAACGCUGGCGGCGUGCCUAAUACAUGCAAGUCGAGCGAACGGACGAGAAGCUUGCUUCUCUGAUGUUAGCGGCGGACGGGUGAGUAACACGUGGAUAACCUACCUCUAAUACUGGGAUAACUUCGGGAAACCGGCGCUAAUCCCGGAUGAUAUUUUGAACCGCAUGGUUCAAAAGUGAAAGACGGUCUUGCUGUCACUUAUAGAUGGAUCCGCGCUGCAUUAGCUAGUUGGUAAGGUAACGGCUUACCAAGGCAACGAUGCAUAGCCGACCUGAGAGGGUGAUCGGCCACGCUGGAACUGAGACACGGUCCAGACUCCUACGGGAGGCAGCAGUAGGGAAUCUUCCGCAAUGGGCGAAAGCCUGACGGAGCAACGACGCGUGAGUGAUGAAGGUCUUCGGAUCGUAAAACGCUGUUAGUAGGGAAGAACAUAUGUGUAAGUAACAGGGCACAUCGUGACGGUACCUAAUCAGAAAGCCACGGCUAACUACGUG